rnacentral:miRNA from 1 species
GCACUCACCUAUCCACUAAACAGCAACUUCAAUGAAAAUAAAAUCUUUCAACAUUGAAGUUGCUGUUUAGUGGAUAGGUGAGUGC